UCAGGAGUGAACGCUAGCUACAGGCUUAACACAUGCAAGUCGAGGGGCAGCAGGAUUUGUGCUGCACAGAUUGCUGGCGACCGGCGCACGGGUGAGUAACGCGUAUCCAACCUUCCCCAUAGUAGAGGAUAGCCCGGCGAAAGUCGGAUUAAUACUCUAUGUUGUACAACGAGGACAUCUGAAUUGUACCAAAGAUUCAUCGCUAUGGGAUGGGGAUGCGUCUGAUUAGGUAGUCGGCGGGGUAACGGCCCACCGAGCCUACGAUCAGUAGGGGUUCUGAGAGGAAGGUCCCCCACAUUGGUACUGAGACACGGACCAAACUCCUACGGGAGGCAGCAGUGAGGAAUAUUGGUCAAUGGGCGCGAGCCUGAACCAGCCAAGUAGCGUGCAGGAAUGACUGCCCUAUGGGUUGUAAACUGCUUUUAUCAGGGAAUAAAGUGAGGCACGUGUGCCUUUUUGUAUGUACCUGAUGAAUAAGGACCGGCUAAUUCCGUGCCAGCAGCGGC
rnacentral:rRNA from 1 species